rnacentral:misc_RNA from 1 species
AAGGAUCAUUAAUGAAUUCACUAUGGAGUUGUUGCUGGCCUCUAGGGGCAUGUGCACGCUUCACUAGUCUUUCAACCACCUGUGAACUUUUGAUAGAUCUGUGAAGUCGUCUUUCAAGUCGUCAGACUUGGUUUGCUGGGAUUUAAACGUCUCGGYGUGACAACGCAGUCUAUUUACUUAACACACCCCAAAUGUAUGUCUACGAAUGUCAUUUAAUGGGCCUUGUGCCUAUAAACCAUAAUACA